CAAGGAAUUUUCCGCAAUGGGCGCAAGCCUGACGGAGCAACGCCGCGUGCAGGAGGACGGCCUUCGGGUUGUAAACUGCUUUUGCUGGGGACGAUAUGGACGGUACCUGGCGAAUAAGCCCCGGCUAACUCCGUGCCAGCAGCCGCGGUAAUACGGAGGGGGCAAGCGUUGUCCGGAUUUACUGGGCGUAAAGCGCACGUAGGCGGCGUCGUGCGUCGGCACUGAAAGCGCUCGGCUUAACCGAGCGAGGCGUGUCGAUACGACGAUGCUUGAGGCAAUGAGAGGUUGGUAGAAUUCCGGGUGUAGUGGUGAAAUGCGUAGAGAUCCGGAGGAAUGCCUGUGGCGAAAGCGACCAACUGGUGUUGACCUGACGCUGAGGUGCGAAAGCGUGGGGAGCGAACC
rnacentral:rRNA from 1 species